rnacentral:rRNA from 1 species
GUGUCAGCCGCCGCGGUAAUACGGAGGGGGCUAGCGUUGUUCGGAAUUACUGGGCAUAAAGCGCGCGUAGGCGGUUUGCCAAGUCAGAGGUGAAAGCCCGGGGCUUAACCUCGGAAUUGCCUUUGAGACUGGCAGGCUUGAGUACGGGAGAGGUAGGUGGAAUUCCGAGUGUAGAGGUGAAAUUCGUAGAUAUUCGGAAGAACACCAGUGGCGAAGGCGGCUUACUGGACCGUUACUGACGCUGAGGCGCGAAAGCGUGGGGAGCAAACAGGAUUAGAUACCCUGGUAGUCCACGCCGUAAACGAUGGGUGCUAGAUGUUGGGGGCCGUUGGCUUCCGGUGUCGCAGCUAACGCGUUAAGCACCCCGCCUGGGGAGUACGGCCGCAAGGUUAAAACUCAAAGGAAUUGACGGGG